CAAGGAAUUUUCCGCAAUGGGCGCAAGCCUGACGGAGCAACGUCGCGUGGAGGAAGACGGCUUUCGGGUUGUAAACUCCUUUUGGGUGGGACGAUAAUGACGGUACCAUCCGAAUAAGCCCCGGCUAACUCUGUGCCAGCAGCCGCGGUAAUACAGAGGGGGCAAGCGUUGUCCGGACUUACUGGGCGUAAAGGGUGCGCAGGCGGUUGCGUGCGUCCGCGCUGAAAUCAUGCGGCUUAACCGCGUGGCGCGUGCGGAUACGACGUAACUUGAGGCUCUGAGAGGGUGGCGGAACUCCUGGUGUAGUGGUGAAAUGCGUAGAGAUCAGGAAGAACACCCGUGGCGCAAGCGGCCACCUGGCAGAGACCUGACGCUGAGGCACGAAAGCGUGGGGAGUGAACCG
rnacentral:rRNA from 1 species